rnacentral:rRNA from 1 species
UACGUAGGGGGCUAGCGUUGUUCGGAUUUACUGGGCGUAAAGGGCGGGUAGGCGGCCACCGCAAGUCAGUUGUGAAAUCUCUGGGCUUAACCCAGAAAGGUCAACUGAUACUGCGGGGCUAGAGUGCAGAAGGGGCAACUGGAAUUCUCGGUGUAGCGGUGAAAUGCGUAGAUAUCGAGAGGAACACCUGCGGCGAAGGCGGGUUGCUGGGCUGACACUGACGCUGAACUGCGAAAGCUAGGGGAGCGAACGGG